CUCGAUUAGGGCUUCAUCCUUUUCAUUCAUCCACAGUUCACCUCGCCGUCUCCGUUUUCUUAAUCUUCAGAGUUUCUUUUCUUAUCUCUUGACAUUCCUUCAAGUUCAAUGUUUUCUUUAAAUUCAGCAAUAACGAUUAAACUUUAAAUCAUUAAACUUUGUAACGAUUCCGACCUCUUCGUUUCUUCUCCGUCGAAUCUAUAAAUAGGAGAUGGUCAAGAGGUGGAUGAACCUUUGCUAUCACUUUCAGUCUAUAUUUUUUUGUCGAGCGUAGAGAGAUUCUGAGAAAAUGUCUUCCUCUGAUGCCAUUGUUGCACAAGCAGCCUUCGACGUUCUCCGGCUCGGUAGAUCUGCCCAGUUCAUUGUUGCUCUUCUGCUCCGUUUCUGGGACUCCAAAAACAUCAAGAAGCAUGGUGAAUUCAUGGGAGUCACUCUACUUCUCCUUGAUGAGAAGGUAUUUUAAUAACACGCAUUUUAUUUUUGGAUCAUAGUUUUUUUCCUGACAACGCCCAAUGAUUUAAGUAAAAUAUUUAUUUUGGUUUCCACAACUUCGUGAUCCAUGGAUUUCCUUGCUGCUCCCACCACCCACUACCGUCCAUGUUUACGAAGUGGUUCCAUCGUUAAAGUUUCACGCUUUGAACUCCCAGAUGUUGUUGGGAAAAUUCAUUUUGUCCAAGGUUCAGACCUUAAGGACGCUCAAGUGAUGACUCGAGUUGUGGUCUACUUCGUCAUCGACUGUUGUGGUGUAUCUCUCUUUAUGGGACGAAGCUGCAGCAAUGUUUAGGGGCCUCAUCAGCUCAGGUUUUGUAGACUUAGGAUCGUUGAGGUCUUGAAGCAUAACAACUGGUACUAUGUCUCAUGCACUGGGUGCAGCAGGAAACUAGACAAAUCAGACCAGUCUCCCCAUUGCAACCGCUGUGUUAAUCUUAACGCCACAGGUGUUGUAAAGUACCAAGUAGAAGUAUAAGUUGAUGAUGCAAAUGAUAAUGCCACUUUUGUGGUCUUCGACAGAGAGAUGCUUCAACUCACUAACCUACCUGCAGCUGCUCUUACUCUAAAUGAGAUAAAUAGUGGUGGCAGCGAGCAACUCCCACAAUGCCUUGCAAAAUUUGCUGGAAAAUAUUUUCCAAAUAUGUGUGCCCCCGUUUACUUCCCCUCUAGACAACCCCCCCCCCCCCCCCCCCCACUUUCCCUGUUUCAGGACUCAGUAACCCCAUCACCACCGAGACUUCCAACCCCAAGGCAGCUCCAUUUAUUGAAAGGGAAAUUGGCCAAGCAGAUUACCAGCACCGAAGUUGAAGGUCUAAAGGAUGACACACAUCCAGAGGGAGUUAAGGAAGAAGAGGUUGGCAAUACACACACCCGUGAGUGAAGAUACGAAGCUGCCACACCGUCGACCCAACCCUGCUCCUGUUUCUUUACAAUAUCAAAUAUUACUAUGCAUUUUCUAUGUUUCACUUUUAUAUAUUUUCCUUUUUUCCAGGUUUUUUAACAAGCCUUUUAUGUACCUCUUCAGAGAACAACUAUUUUAUUAAUUAAAAAGGGUUGACAUGA